AGUUUGAUCAGUGGCUCAGGACAACGCUGGCGGCGUGCCUAACACAUGCAAGUCGAACGAGAUCCAUGGGAGCUUGCUCCCGGAAGAUCUAGUGGCGAACGGGUGAGUAACACGUGAGAAACCUGCCCUGGAGUGGGGAAUAACUCGGGGAAACUCGAGCUAAUACCGCAUACCCUCGGAUGGUCGCAUGGCCGACCGAGGAAAGAUUUAUCGCUCUAGGAGGGUCUCGCGGCCUAUCAGCUAGUUGGUGGGUAACGGCCUACCAAGGCAACGACGGGUAGCUGGUUUGAGAGAACGAUCAGCCACACUGGGACUGAGACACGGCCCAGACUCCUACGGGAGGCAGCAGUGGGGAAUCUUGCGCAAUGGGCGAAAGCCUGACGCAGCAACGCCGCGUGCGGGAUGACGGCCUUCGUGGUUGUAAACCGCUUUCAGCAGGGACGAAAAUGACGGUACCUGCAGAAGAAGCCCCGGCUAACUACGUG
rnacentral:rRNA from 1 species